rnacentral:rRNA from 1 species
GCGGCAGGCUUAAUACAUGCAAGUCGUGGGGCAGCGCAGGUAGCAAUACUGGGCGGCGACCGGCAAACGGGUGCGGAACACGUACACAACCUUCCUUCAAGUGGGGAAUAGCCCAGAGAAAUUUGGAUUAAUACCCCGUAACAUAGCGAUGUGGCAUCACAUUGUUAUUAUAGCUUCGGCGCUUGUUGAUGGGUGUGCGGCUGAUUAGAUAGUUGGCGGGGUAACGGCCCACCAAGUCUACGAUCAGUAGCUGAUGCGAGAGCAUGAUCAGCCACACGGGCACUGAGACACGGGCCCGACUCCUACGGGAGGCAGCAGUAAGGAAUAUUGGUCAAUGGACGAAAGUCUGAACCAGCCAUGCCGCGUGAAGGAUUAAGGUCCUCUGGAUUGUAAACUUCUUUUAUCUGGGACGAAAAAAGGCGAUUCUUCGUCACUUGACGGUACCAGAUGAAUAAGCACCGGCUAACUCCGUGCCAGCAGCCGCGGUAAUACGGAGGGUGCAAGCGUUAUCCGGAUUCACUGGGUUUAAAGGGUGCGUAGGCGGGCAGGUAAGUCAGUGGUGAAAUCCUAGAGCUUAACUCUAGAACUGCCAUUGAUACUAUCUGUCUUGAAUAUUGUGGAGGUAGCGGAAUAUGUCAUGUAGCGGUGAAAUGCUUAAAUAUGACAUAGAACACCUAUUGCGAAGGCAGCUAACUACCCAUAUAUUGGCCCUGAGGCACGAAAGCGUGGGGAUCAAACAGGAUUAGAUACCCUGGUAGUCCACGCCCUUAACGAUGAUU